rnacentral:rRNA from 1 species
UGAGGAAUAUUGGUCAAUGGGCGAGAGCCUGAACCAGCCAUGCCGCGUGCAGGAAGACGGUCCUAUGGAUUGUAAACUGCUUUUAUACAGGAAGAAACACUCCCUCGUGAGGGAACUUGACGGUACUGUAGGAAUAAGGAUCGGCUAACUCCGUGCCAGCAGCCGCGGUAAUACGGAGGAUCCAAGCGUUAUCCGGAAUCAUUGGGUUUAAAGGGUUCGUAGGCGGUUUUAUAAGUCAGUGGUGAAAUCUGGUCGCUCAACGAUCAAACGGCCAUUGAUACUGUAAGACUUGAAUUAUUGUGAAGUAACUAGAAUAUGUAGUGUAGCGGUGAAAUGCUUAGAUAUUACAUGGAAUACCAAUUGCGAAGGCAGGUUACUAACAAUAUAUUGACGCUGAUGAACGAAAGCGUGGGGAGCGAACA